GUGUGGUGUGUCUUCUUUUUUGUCUCCUCCUCCAGGCGAUACAAGGCUGACCCCGUGUGUGUCGAUCUCCAGAACCAGAUCUUCCAGUGCUACCAACAGAAUCCAAAGCAGACCCUCAGCUGCUCAGCUCUGGCUGCCGAAUACUUCAAGUGUGUCCAGCACGCUCGGCAGUGCAACGCUGGCCGGGGAGGAUAACAUCUGCCGCGGACGGCGCAUCCUUUCCACCACUUCGAUUCUAACAGCUGGAAGGAUGGGGGGGAGCGGGUUAUUCCUGAAUGAUCUAACACCCCACAGGUGGAAAGUGCAUCAUCUCCAGAAGACCCAAAUCGACAGCUGUGGGCUAUGGCAUCAUGACGACUAUGUUCAUCUCCUUAGGCUGGGAACGGCGUAAUGCUUAACCCUCUUAGUAGUAAUUGAAGGGAAGGCCAAACCUUACUUGACCUUAAGACAGAGGCAUCCAGCCUGGGUAACUUUAAGACCUGGGGACUUCCAACUCCCAGAAUUCCCCAGCCAGCCAUGCUGGCUGGGGAAUUCUGGGAGUUGAAGUCCACAAAUCUUAAAAGUCACCAAAGUUGGAUACCCCAUGCUUUAGGGAAAGAUCUCUUCGUGGGGAAAGCGGUGGUUUUAAUUUAUUGCAGAACGACCAUCUUGGUCGCUCUGAAUCCCGGCGCUGCUAAAAUCGUGUCUCCGAAAACUCCGCAGCACGGAAAGUUUCCCUUGGUUUGCAAAUCAUGAUUAAAGCGUCUGGUUACAUCCUUGUAACGUACCAGCGAGCUGAAACUUAAGUUACUGACAAUUAUGUAUCCGUAAUAAAAGGGUGCGGCUUUUUUUUUUGGCCAGGA